rnacentral:rRNA from 1 species
UUAGAGUUUGAUCCUGGCUCAAGAUGACCCCUUGCGGGAGGCUUAACACAUGCAAGUCGAGGGGUAACAGAGGUAGCAAUACUUGCUGACGACCGGCGUACGGGUGAGUAACGCGUAUGCAACCUGCCCUAUACAGGAGGAUAGCCCGAAGAAAUUCGGAUUAAUACUCCAUGCAGCAUAUUUUUCGCAUGAUAAAUAUGUUAAAGAUUUAUCGGUAUAGGAUGGGCAUGCGUCCCAUUAGUUAGUUGGUGAGGUAAUGGCUCACCAAGGCUUCGAUGGGUAUGGGGUCUAAAAGGAUGGUCCCACACACUGGCACUGAGACACGGGCCAGACUCCUACGGGAGGCAGCAGUGAGGAAUAUUGGUCAAUGGGCGAGAGCCUGAACCAGCCAUCCCGCGUGCAGGAUGACAGUCCUAGUGAUUGUAAACUGCUUUUCUAUAAGAUGAAUAAGGACUACGUGUAGUUCGAUGACCGUAUUAUAGGAAUAAGGAUCGGCUAACUCCGUGCCAGCAGCCGCGGUAAUACGGAGGAUCCGAGCGUUAUCCGGAUUUACUGGGUUUAAAGGGUGCGUAGGCGGGCUCUUAAGUCUGCGGUGAAAGUCAUCGGCUCAACCGGUGGAUUGCCGUGGAUACUGGGGGCCUUGGGUACGGUCGGGGCCGGCGGAAUGCGUGGUGUAGCGGUGAAAUGCUUAGAUAUCACGCGGAACGCCGAUCGCGAAGGCAGCUGGCCAGGCCGUUACCGACGCUGAGGCACGAAAGCGUGGGGAUCAAACAGGAUUAGAUACCCUGGUAGUCCACGCCGUAAACGAUGAUCACUGGGUGCCGGCGACACACCGUCGGUGCCUGAGCGAAAGCAUUAAGUGAUCCACCUGGGGAGUACGAUCGCAAGGUUGAAACUCAAAGGAAUUGACGGGGGCCCGCACAAGCGGAGGAACAUGUGGUUUAAUUCGAUGAUACGCGAGGAACCUUACCUGGGCUCGAACGCAUUCGGAAGGGCACGGAAACGUGUCCGCCAGCGAUGGCCGUUUGCGAGGUGCUGCAUGGUUGUCGUCAGCUCGUGCCGUGAGGUGUCGGGUUAAGUCCCACAACGAGCGCAACCCCUACUGCUAGUUGCCAGCGCGUGAAGGCGGGGACUCUAGCGGAACUGCCGGCGUAAGCCGUGAGGAAGGUGGGGAUGACGUCAAAUCAGCACGGCCCUUAUGUCCAGGGCUACACACGUGUUACAAUGGCCGGUACAGAGGGCAGCCACCCCGCGAGGGGGCGCGAAUCCCGAAAGCCGGUCUCAGUUCGGAUCGGAGUCUGCAACCCGACUCCGUGAAGCUGGAUUCGCUAGUAAUCGCGCAUCAGCCACGGCGCGGUGAAUACGUUCCCGGGCCUUGUACUCACCGCCCGUCAAG